rnacentral:tRNA from 1 species
GCCCUGAUGGUCUAGUGGUAUGAUAAUCAUGCUUAGGUAUGAUUGGCCCAGGUUCGAUUCCUGGUUAGGGCA